GAUGGAAGAUGAUAAGAACAGGG
rnacentral:piRNA from 1 species